GUACUAAUUUGACUUUAAAAAAAAUGAGCCCAAUCAGGUUGGUAUCCUUAGAAAAAUUUUGAAUUGAAUAUUACUCAAACUACUUGCUCUCCAAUUAUUUCAGACAUUUAAAGAAAAAAAAUUUAAAGCAAAUCAGAGACUGUACACACCAUUUCUGCUCUCUGGCUACCGAAGGAUCUCUUAUUUCUCCUUCAAAAACCACCGGGUCAUUACCCUCUCUUCAAAGCCUGGGGGCACUCUGCCCACCUUACUCAAAAGCCGGACAGCCCCUCCCUCCUCCCUUAUACCUGGAGGAAGCAGCGGUGGUCUGAAAGUCAGAUGGGGUCACUAUACGCCAGCGGGUGUGGAGCAGGCUGUUGGGGACCCUCUCUAGGGAAUACCAAAUGACGGCCGGACUAGUGCACAGUGCAGCAUCCUGCAAAGACUCUGAGCCCUUCUGCUCCGGGGGCAAGGAGACCAUUGGGAAUCUGGGUCCUCCAGUGGAUUGGCCUGGAAUGGCUAAUUAGAAGCUUGACCUUUCACAUGUCUGGGGAAUGUGAGUCUCCAGAACCCAACAAGAUUGGAACAAGGAAGCUCAUACCCUCAAUGCUGUUGGCAGCCACUCUGUGGCCAUGAGAUCCAGCUUUAAAAUGAUCCUUUGAGUAACAGAGCAAAGAGGCAGAAAGAUACUUGGGUUUUGAUGACUUCAAUGGAUAUUGGAUCAGUCAAUACCCUGAAAUCUGUCCUCUGGAUUCUAGAUCCCUUCUGUGACCUGCGGUGGCAUUUCUGUCUUCUCCGGUCUGGCUCAGCUGUUUGCAGGGAAGACCUCCUGCCAGCUGAAUCAGCCACCCAGUUGCUGAGCUGGUCCUGACUCAGGUUAUUUGCUCAUCCAAUGGUCCUCAUCACUGCUGCCAGGUGCUGGGUA
rnacentral:lncRNA from 1 species